rnacentral:rRNA from 1 species
CCCACAGGCCGUAAACCCAAGGUUUCCAGGGGAAGGUUCGUCCGCCCUGGGUUAGUCGGGACCUAAGCUGAGGCCGAAAGGCGUAGGUGAUGGACAACAGGUGGAUAUUCCUGUACUACCGAUAACCAUUUGAGAGAAGGGAUGACACAGUAGGAUAAGCUAAGCACACUGUUGGUUAUGUGUGCCCAAGCAUUGAGGCAGUCAAAGUAGGCAAAUCCGCUUUGAUAAUG